GUUUACUUCGCCUGCUCCCCUUGAGAGGCCCUGUUUGUUCGUUUCCCCUUCCCCAUCGAUAGGAAGCUUGAGCGGGGCACAACCUUAGAACAUGUCUCAAGCUAAGGGCCGCCACGUUAACGGUACCUGCUCGUCAAAUAGGAGGCGCACGGGGGUAGGCACCGCCUCGUCUAGCUCGCAGAAUACUUGCUUAGACGGCGGCCGAGUAGGAGGUUGGGGCUGCUGCGGAGGGAGCUGGAGAGGAAGAGUCUCCUACCUUCCUCACCGUGUAAAUACUAACCUUUGGUCUCCAAAGGACGUAGAGAGAACCUAGAAGGUUGGCAACACCUCAGUAUAUUCUGUAUACUACUAAGGAAAAAUCAAUUUUGACGACUAUAACCAGUCUACCAUUACCAUUCUCUUCUUUUACUAGGACGAGGUCUUCCUCGACUUAUGUUCGUACCUGAAUGGGGAGGGUACUCCCUACGUGCGUCCGCUGCAAAAGCGUCUCUCGGGCUGAACUUACGUCUCGAACAAGUGGCUCAACUCUUCCUAGAAUAUUCAUAAUACGUUCCUCACGGACAGUCAUAGGAAAACUAGACACUCUAAAACGGUUUACGAAGCCGGAUAACGUUAUCUUGUUUACUGAUCAUUAAACAAAACAAGACAUAAUAAAUCAACCAUCAGGACGUGAAGGUAACCGAGUAGUUGAAGCAUUACUUAGUUGACGAACGGGAAAUGAAAUCUUCGGUACUACAGAUAUACAUCAAGGGAACAACUAUUCCUAUUGCAAGUCUUAGAGAAUUCGUACAGUAAUAUCACUAGCGUAUAUUUCCCAAGGUUUGGAUUGGAAGUUUUGGACCUUACGGAGCAGCUUUCAACAAAAGAUAGGGCUGCCGUAGUGCAAGUACCCAGUUUGGUAGUAUUUUUCUUUGGAGCGACAAAUAUACGUUUAGACAGACGCACACUUCAAGAAAUUGAACAAACACCUGGUCUUACGAUCACAUCGACCUCCGCCACUUCCACCACUAGCGUUCUUUCGACGUGGUCGAGAACGUGGGUUCGCAUUGCAAGUUCUCGGACGACGUUUACCGCUUCUUCGACUCCGACUAGCCUCGCUGAGACUGCUCAGUCUGUCGACUUCACCUGGUCUUAUGGUCUUAUCUGUGACGUCGAAGUCAACCGGCUCGUUUGGGUCACAUACAUAAUCCGCUAAGUCUAGUUUCUUACGCGUGAAAAUGGUUCGUUCGCGCGAACAACAGAGGAUGACAUGACUAGUAGUAGAGUAGUCAUUAUUAUUCUCACGCUGCUGAAAGGUA
rnacentral:rRNA from 1 species